ensembl:lncRNA
GUCUGCUUACUCUAAGGAGCUCAUCGUACUGUAGAUGUGUUUAUUUGUCUUUGCGUUUCUGAACACAUGACAAACACAUUCGCAUACAAAUAUCCCCUUUCUUUUGCUUUUUCCUGUUGUUUCUUCUUCAUAUCACCAUUGCCGACAGAGCAAUAGAUUAGCAAGCCUGAAAUCUCAGGGGUAAAUUUGAUGUCAUCUUAUUGUGGCUGAAGCUCUGUAGGAACGGCACGCUAACAAGGUGGAUUCAGCUGGAACGAGAGGCAGUGGGAGGGAAGAAAAGAAACUCUUGGCUCAGUCUUCCUCUAAUAUUUAUGAAUUGCGUCUUUGUUGUUGUGGAGCUGAUAGGUGAGCCACAUCCAUCCCUGGAGUUUGAAGAGACGCCAUCACUGCAGGGAUUUGACAACGUACAAAAUGAUAUGAUAAAUUAGCACAUGAAAAUCAACAGAUCCAUCCACAUACAAAAUUGCCCUGGGGUCUGGAGUGCCUGAAUCAUGCUGGAUAUGCCUUGAUAACUGGUGAACAUUGCAACAAACUAAAAUUAUAUCUGUGUAUAAUCAAAUGUAAAUUCAGAAAUGCCUAGAUGUCUAGCUUGAGUGGGCAGAAGCCUCUGCAGUUGUGGUGUUGUGUAGUACAGUAGAUGCUCUGUCAUGCUGGAUUAUAGUUUUAAAUAUUUAAAUCAUAACUGCUUCUGAAAUUUGGCUUGUUAAAAAAAUGUGUCACUGAUGUCAGCUAUGCAGUAAUGAAAUUGAAUUUAUCUGGUUUAUCACGUAAUACACUGCUAUUUGCGCAAAUCAUAUGUUGAUAAACUAGUCAAGAAUAUGCGUUUCAAGACAUGAAAUAUGCAGUGUUGUACAUGCAAUACAUAUUAAGUGACAUACUGCUGUAAGUAUGGAGUAGGGAUUUUGACUUGUCUAUACACACUUAUACACUUGUUAAGUCUAUACACAUAAGUUGCUCAUGUAUUUAUGUCUAAUAAUUUUACUUUAAAACGUUAAUAUAUACAUCAG